rnacentral:rRNA from 1 species
ACGGGUGAGUAACACGUGGGCAAUCUGCCCUUCACUCUGGGACAAGCCCUGGAAACGGGGUCUAAUACCGGAUAACACCUGCCCGGGCAUCCGGGUGGGUUAAAAGCUCCGGCGGUGAAGGAUGAGCCCGCGGCCUAUCAGCUUGUUGGUGAGGUAGUGGCUCACCAAGGCGACGACGGGUAGCCGGCCUGAGAGGGCGACCGGCCACACUGGGACUGAGACACGGCCCAGACUCCUACGGGAGGCAGCAGUGGGGAAUAUUGCACAAUGGGCGAAAGCCUGAUGCAGCGACGCCGCGUGAGGGAUGACGGCCUUCGGGUUGUAAACCUCUUUCAGCAGGGAAGAAGCGAAAGUGACGGUACCUGCAGAAGAAGCGCCGGCUAACUACGUGCCAGCAGCCGCGGUAAUACGUAGGGCGCAAGCGUUGUCCGGAAUUAUUGGGCGUAAAGAGCUCGUAGGCGGCUUGUCACGUCGGGUGUGAAAGCCCGGGGCUUAACCCCGGGUCUGCAUUCGAUACGGGCUAGCUAGAGUGUGGUGGGGGAGAUCGGAAUUCCUGGUGUAGCGGUGAAAUGCGCAGA